rnacentral:rRNA from 1 species
UACGUAGGGGCAAGCGUUAUCCGGAUUUACUGGGUGUAAAGGGAGCGUAGACGGUAUGGUAAGUCAGAUGUGAAAGCCCGGGGCUCAACCCCGGGACUGCAUUUGAAACUAUCAAACUGGAGUGCAGGAGAGGUAAGUGGAAUUCCUAGUGUAGCGGUGAAAUGCGUAGAUAUUAGGAGGAACACCAGUGGCGAAGGCGGCUUACUGGACUGUAACUGACGUUGAGGCUCGAAAGCGUGGAGAGCAAACAGGAUUAGAUACCCCUGUAGUCCCUGAG